rnacentral:lncRNA from 1 species
CGGCAGGCAGGACGCCUGAGACCGAGGGAGGCACGGCUCCCUGUCUGGCUCGCCUGCCUUGACUGGCCGGCCUGACCGUGUCUUCAGUCUCCAUCAGAGACCUGCUGCGUGUGGACACGCAUAGCAGUUUUCCCAACAGAGACGCAUCGAAUGCCCUUUUCCGGAAACAACACUUCCAGAAAUGUGCUGACCAAGAAGAAACAGCAGGGGUGAGAGAGGUGGCCAAAGCACUCACAACAUCUUAACAAGCACUAAUUAAAUGUCUUUCUUUAAAAAUAUGGCUUAAGAAAGCCAAAUACAAUAACUUCUUACAGAUGGUUUUAGGAACUAAC